CAUACAUAUGUACGUACAUUAUUUGCUGUAAAGUCUCGAAUUAACAUAGUAGCGGAUAUUAUAUUUUUCUGAAACCCCAUUUACACAUACACGAAAUCUAGUAGAUUUUAUUUAAAAUCUUUUUGGAAAUCUAGUCCGUUUACAAUUACUCUUCUUGAUAUUUAGGAAGAUUUCAUUUUUUUUAAUAUUUCUCGAAAAAGUGCGUGAUAUGAAAAACUAGAAGAUUAACUUCCCAGCAAAAAAAAUUGAAGUUGUUCAAUAAGAAGGUAUUCACGUUUUCUCUAGUACGUAAUCUAGUUAAUGACAAAAUUCUAAUAAAUUUUUCAUAAGGCAUGAACAAUUGCACCCAAUUCACUCAUGUGAAACUCUAUUAUAGCCCAGCAAAUAAUAAUUGAUGUCAUACUUUACAAAUGACAUCUUAAUCACAUCUAAAAAUGUGAUUAUAUAUUAAAUAUUAAAUAUUUCCUUACAAAUGAAAACCCAGUUGAAAAUGAUGAAAGAGAUGUAGAAAAGUCACUACAUAUAACAUAUUCGAACUACAUAAAACUUUGGUGAAAAACCAAUGAAAUUAACAUAAGCAUGUCAUUAAACGAAUUCGGUUUAUUUUUGACAUCCAAAUAUCGGAUUUUUAUUACAUCUAUUAAUAAGAUUAGAUGUAGUUUAUAGUUGUUAAAAAUGAAUAACAUCCCUCCAAUGACACGCUAAUGUAAAAUUCACAGGUUUUUCAUCAAAAUUGCAAGUACUUCAAGUAUGUUAUUUGUGGUGAAAAUUCUACUUCUUUUUCCUCACUUUUUUUGAUGGGAAGAAAAGAAUAUACCAAGUUGGUUGAAUGUUUAACAGAUUUUAAAAUAUAUUGGAUAUUUUUACUCUGAAUGUUUUAUUUUGUUAUCAUAAAUAUAGUGCACCAAUGAAAAUUCGCAUUAGAAUCAUCGAAUGUUCAUUGGUUAUAAGCACUCAUUUUAAUGACGAGCUAUAUUUCCAAAUACGAACCCAUGCUCGAUUGUUUAUCUACACCAAUUAAUAAAUCGUUUAAAUUUGUUGUUAAAUUAAAAUUCGACAAAAUAAGUGUUCAAUUUGCAAAAAAUAAUUGUGUUAUCAAAUUCUACACAUUGAGCUUCAUGACACAGAACAUUACAUAGCAUAUUUCCUCGUACAGUACAUUCGAUUUUGAACAUGACAUGAAACAAUAAUUUCCUUUAAAGUCCAAUUAUCUGACAUGGAACAUCACAUAGGAUAUUUCCUCGUCCAGUACAUUCGAUUCUGAAUACGACCAAAAACUUCUUAUAUUAUCUUUAGCUUAGUUAGUUAGUAACUAACUAUAUUUAGCUUAAUGCUUAAUUAUAAAACAUUUCUUUUUAUAUUAGAUAGAAAUUGAAUUCUUCAAGUUUCUAUAAUUUGGGAAUCAUUUGUUUCAAUACUCGGUUUUCAUUUGUAAGAAAAUAUUUGGUUUAUAAAAGCGUAAAAUAUAUAAUCGUAAUAAUUUACUGGAACAACACUCAUAAAAUGUCAAUCAAAAUAAAAAUAAGUGUAAUUUCCGUUUCCAUUUCGAAAAGAUCUGCAUUGGAAAUUUACAAAAUAUGCAAAACAUAAAGUAAAUAGAUUUAAAAACUAGGUCAUGAUACAACCAUUACCAGGUAGAAUCAGUAGAAAGAGUUGUCGUAUUUCUGCCUUAUUAAGUUAUACCGAAUGAACUGAAAAUAAAACAACUACAAAAUGUCCAAAUAAAAACUACGAAAAUACCAUGGAAUGAUUCUCGAACACACACGCAAACAACAUUACACACUUUUAUAUCCUGUUUUUGUUUUAUUGGCUUUGCAAUAUUUUUUAUUAAUUUAUAAACAUUAACGUACUUUUCUACCUAUUCUAUGUUAUUAUAGUUAUGUUUAGUUUAGUUUAGUUUAUUCAUUCUUAUACAGAAUCCUAGCCAAAGGCCAUAAUCGGAUCCAAUAACACUACUUAAUUAGACAACAUUCAAUUUUAAUAAAAUAACAAUAAUAAUAAAAGUAAAUAAAUAAAGAAUAUAAA
rnacentral:lncRNA from 1 species